rnacentral:siRNA from 1 species
UAUGUAGACAUAUUGAACGGAUGC